UACGUAGGGUGCAAGCGUUAAUCGGAAUUACUGGGCGUAAAGCGUGCGCAGGCGGCUUUGCAAGACAGAUGUGAAAUCCCCGGGCUUAACCUGGGAACUGCAUUUGUGACUGCAUGGCUGGAGUGCGGCAGAGGGGGAUGGAAUUCCGCGUGUAGCAGUGAAAUGCGUAGAUAUCGUAAGGAAGACCAGCGGCGAAGGCGAGUUCCUGGACAGUUACUGACGCUGAGGCACGAAGGCCAGGGGAGCAAACGGG
rnacentral:rRNA from 1 species